rnacentral:lncRNA from 1 species
GUUCCGUAUUUUUUUUCUGGAAGACUACACAAACUAGGGAAAAAUGGGUAGCAGUUCCUGUUACUAGAAAUGCCAGCGUUGCAUUACAACCAAAAAAGUAUAUAGGGUCAGGCGGCUCAAAUUGACUUAAAAUGCAGUUGAAAAAGAUCGUCUACUUUUUUCGCUUAAUGAAAAAGGCAUAUUUUUAAUGGCUCCAACGUGCAGAAGUGGAAGAUAUUUUCUAUACUUUGUAAAAUGUGAAUAUGAUUUUCGGCAAUUUUUAAACCUAAAUUGGAUAAGCUUUCGAUUAAAUGUAAUUCCAAUCCUG